UGCAAAGAGAUUGUUGAGUGUUCAACUUAACACCGUGACAAAGUUCAGCAUAUGCAACAGUUUUACAUUGCUUCCGAGAUUACAGAAUUUCAGAUUUAGCACUUUUAAGUAUGCCUCAAUCUUGGAGGCCAUAUUGCAGUAUUACUGUUAUGUUAAGAAGUGUGUGAAAUAAAUGUGGUGUUUACUGUGCAGGGGCAACAACAAUGUGUAGGUGCACUUGUGUUGUGCACGUCGGUGUUCAAGGUCAGCUGGCUCUCAAUAUGUGCUCAGUCCAGAGAACUGGAGACCAUGUUUGUCAUCCUCUGAAGUGCCUGAAGGACCUGCACUCAUUCCAGACAAUUGGUCCAGGAAAUAGGUUACGACUUUGUGACCAGGAAGAAUAUUCAUGACCUGCAUAUUUGCUGGACAACUGCUCCAGGGAACUGAUCGAGGUGGACUGCUGUUUGGGGCGACCACAACAAAGGGCCUUGUUUCCGGUGUCAUGAGUAGCAGCUGGAGCUGCUGCUGUUGUUAUGGCUGCUGGCUGUGCUGUGCCAAGUGCAAGCCCAUGGGCUGUGACCCGUCCAACUCUUCAUGGCCAGAUUAGGUUUGGCAUGCCAAUGGACUUCAUAUAUGGUAGAUAACACGAUUCGGAGGCCUGACAGAAGCCUUCAGCAAGGGCUGUACCGCCAAUCUGCUAUACCUGGUCUAUCUGGCAGUGGUGUUGGCCAACCUGGAGAGUUCAUGGGGCACAGAGGAAAAUCUGCAUAGACGUCGCAGUGGCUCAGUGAUUAUGGUGUUCUGCAUCAGAACAAGAGGUCGCGGGUUUGACUCCCGACCGCGUUCCCAUAGGGCGAAACGCAGAAAUGUGGAUGCCAAGCACAGUGGUGAAACAGCUGUGCCCAAUUGGGCCAAAUUGCACCAAGAACGGUCCUUUGGGCCAUCCUGCUCCAAAACGACACUUUCUCGGAAGAUUGCUAAAAAAAAAAAUGCCAUAAGAAGCAUAGGACCGAAAGCCUUCGUCUGUUGAUGCUGCCUCAGUUGUGAAAAACCAAGCCUAAAGGGCGCCAUCAUCAUUGCCAUCAUUACUGUAGAAGUCAAUGAAGUGACCAAAGCCAUGGAUAUAGCCGAUACCGAAGCAAGAUGG